rnacentral:rRNA from 1 species
GUGGACAAAAUUAUUUAUUAAUCAAUAUAAAAAAAAUAUUUUUAAUUUUUAUUAUACUUUUAGAAAAAAUUAAUUACAUUAUAGUUUACUAGUAUAGUGAUAGAAAUUUUAAAAAAAUGAAAAUUUAUAUUUUUGAAAGAAAAAUUUAUUUUUUGUACCUUGUGUAUCAGGGUUUAUUAAUUAAUAAUUAUAAAUUUAAUUUUCUCGAUUUUAAAAGAGCUAAAAAAUUAUAUAUUUUAUUGUAAAAUAAAUAUUUAAAAUAAUUUUUUUGUAAUGAAACGUUAUUCGUUUUUAAAUAUAUCUAGUUUUUGAAGAAAAGAAUUAAAUUCUAUUUAUUAAAUUAUAAAAUUUAUUGGUAAAUUUUAUUAAAUUAAUAAAAAAUAUUUUUGGGGAUAAGCUUAAAAGUAUAAUUUUAUAAAUUUUAUUUUUUAUGUAGGAAACUGUAGGAUUAGGAAUUUUCAUCUAUUAUAAUUUGUUAUAAUUAAUUUCUAUAUAAAUUUGAUUUUUAUUAAUUUUGAAUUUUUUAUUCAAAUAAUUUAUUUAAUACAAAAAUAAAUGUAAUAAUGAUAAAAUUAGUAUAAUUUUAUUUAUGAAUAUAUUAAUAUUUAUAGGUUAAUUUAAGGAACUCGGCAAAUACUUUUUUCGCCUGUUUAUCAAAAACAUGUCUUUUUGAUAAUAAUUUAAAGUCUGACCUGCCCACUGAAUUUUGAAUGGCCGCGGUACUUUGACCGUGCGAAGGUAGCAUAAUAAUUAGUUUUUUAAUUGAAAGCUGGAAUGAAUGGUUGAACGAGAAAAAAACUGUCUCAAGUUAAAUUUAUUAGAAUUUUAUUUUUAAGUUAAAAAGCUUAAAUAAUUUUAAAAGACGAGAAGACCCUAUAGAGUUUUAUAGAUUUUAUUAUUUUGAAUUUUUAGAAUUAUACAAUUUUUUAUAGUAAUAUUUAUUUUAUUGGGGUGAUAAAAAAAUUUAUUAAACUUUUUUUUAAUAAAAACAUUGAUUUAUGAAUUUUUGAUCCAUUAUUAAUGAUUAUAAGAUUAAAUUACCUUAGGGAUAACAGCGUAAUUUCUUUAAAGAGUUCUAAUCGAAAAAGAAGUUUGCGACCUCGAUGUUGGAUUAAAAUUAAAUUUUGGUGUAGAAGCUAAAAGAUUAGGUCUGUUCGACCUUUAAUAUUUUACAUGAUCUGAGUUUAAACCGGCGUGAGCCAGGUUGGUUUCUAUCUUUAAAAAAUUUAGAUAUUUUAGUACGAAAGGACCAAAUAAUUAUAAAAUUUAUUACAUAUUGAAUAUUAUUAAUGC